UGAGGGAUAUUGGUCAAUGGGCACAAGCCUGAACCAGCGACGCCGCGUGGGUGAAGAAGGUCUUCGGAUCGUAAAGCCCUUUUCCCACUGAAGAGGAAGGACGGUAGGUGGGGAAGAAGUCUCGGCUAACUACGUGCCAGCAGCCGCGGUAAAACGUAGGAGACAAGCGUUAUCCGGAGUUACUGGGCGUAAUGGGCGUGCAGGUGGCGUCUUAAGUCUGUUGUGAAAGCGCCUGGCUUAACCGGGCGAGGCCAAUGGAGACUGAGAGGCUGGAGGACGGCGGAGGGGUGUGGAAGUCCGGGUGUAGUGGUGAAAUGCGUGGAGAUCCGGAGGAACACCAGAGGCGAAGGCGGCACUCUAAGCCGUACCUGACAUUGAGGCGCGACAGCACGGGGAGCAAACG
rnacentral:rRNA from 1 species